UGAAAAAUGAGAGGAGCCCCCCUGGCUUCAUAUUCUGUGUCUAAUCUCUCCGGCGUGUUCAUUAUCAUUUAUCAGAAUGGAUGGGAAGGGAAAACCGCCCUUAUCUCCAAGGCCAAUUAAGGCACACAGAAUUGCGGAAACGAUGCGCUCUAAUCGGAUAUUUUUCGAUGGCAACAUUUAUUUCUUUACGGAGUUGGUGAGGAAAACGUAUAAGGUGAAGGAAAAGUGGUCCCAUGAAUAUGAUAAGAGUCUGGCUCAACUUGUGUUAAUCAAGUUUCGAUCUAGCCUAUCCUACAAGCCCAAACCCCUACCCAGGCCUCCCAUCUAUGGUUCUUUGGAUGACUCAGCUAGUAUUUUCGCCUCCACGGUCAAGGUUGUGUUCCAGGUGCAGGGCUGGUGGUCUUAUGAUUAUACUAAUGAUCUUGUUCAAUUAGCGAUAAUCAAGCUCAGAUCCAAUAAACCAGUUAAGCCACUUGCUAUUAAGCCACUUGCUGUUGAUGUUGCUGAUAAGCCUGUUGCUGAUAAGCCGGUUGCUGUUCCCCUUCAACAAACUCAAGGGAUCUCUGAAUAGCAAUGAGCAUGAACCAUGGUGCAAAAGAAAAUUGGGAGAGGUUGUAUUGGGAUGAUGGCUAUUCUAAGAAACUUGCUGAGGAUCAUGCUAAUUAUGAUUCACCUGAUGAUGACGAGCUACAGGAUCAAUUGUGGGGAGAAACACGGAAAGAGACACCUGGGAAAAAGCUAGCCAAAUCCGUGACAAAUUUGAAUAUGAUAGAGACAGAAGAAUGAGAGAAA